CUCCCCAACGUCCAGCUGCGUGUCCCACGUUUUCGCUCAGCCCCACGCUGUGUCCCUGAGGAGGCCUCAGAUCCCACCCGGUCAGGGCUCAGUCCCGGGACUCUGUUCCUCAACCCCCAUUUCAGUUGUGGGUCGUGAGGGGUGGGUCCCCAGGGUCCUCGCGACUUCUGUCCACCUUGGCUGGACAUCUCGCGAUCGCGCGAUCGCACGCUCGCCCUCGUCAGAGUAAAGCAUUUGCUAGGGCAGCUCUCAGAACUCAGGGAAACACGUUUACCCGCUUAUUAAAGGACACGACAAAGGUGCAGAUGAACAGCCAGACGAAGAGUCGCGUGGGCUUCCCAGGGAGGUGAAUGUUACGAUUCCUACACUGCCAGUGAGAAGCCUACAACCCAGACAGACCAGGAAGGAUAAGAUUGCCAUUUCCUUUGAUGAAGCCAAUUUAACUCUCGUAUGAAAACUUGAUGAAAGACAGUACACUAAAAGUAGAUUACAGUCCAGUCUCACUGGUGAAUACUGAUGCAAACAUCCUAAUGUGUACUAGCUCACUGAAUUCAAUGAUUAAAAGAAUAUACUAUAUUGUGAUAAA